AAGUCGUAACAAGGUAACCGUAGGUGAACCUGCGGUUGGAUCAUUAAUAAAUCUAGAAGACCUUCAAGGUCUCUCUAACGUUUAAUUUCAGUGUAUAACUUUUAAUGAAAAAUUAAAAACAACUUUUGACAACGGAUCUCUAGGCUCUCA
rnacentral:misc_RNA from 1 species